UUGACAUCAAAGCUGCCUGAUGUCGGGCUUUUGUUGGCGGUGGCGGUAACCGAACCAGAAAACUCAGGACUGAUUACGCCACCGCUGGAUCCUAACUGGAGCCGAUGGACAAAUAAUAAAAUGUUAAAUCUUGGGGUACCUUGGCAUCUGGUUUCCAUAUCUGCAAAAAAUCCAGGAUAUGGUUGCUCAUCACAAUAAAAAUUCGUGUAUGGUACAUCUGCUAGUACUGGAUAGUCUGUUCCUGGCCGACCUAGUAAGGUUUUGGACACCAGCGACAAGUUGUGUGCGAUUUGAACGGGGUGCAGAGCCCCGAUAGCAGGACAAAGAGCCCUUUGGUGAUUGAAAUAAAGCAUCUUCAAUCAUCAAUCAACAAUUGUAGAAUAUUCACCAGGAGACUGUCGACAAAUCAACAUGAAUAUUUUAUCUUGAAUUUAAAUAUAGUUUGAAUAUUCAUAACUCGUUGUAAAAGUCACAUAUUUAAAAACAACGUGAAA